GAGCAAAGCUUGCUCGCGAUAGCGGCAGGCCGGUCAACAUUAUGGGUGACUGACUUACUGCUAUCGCGAGCAAGCUUUGCUC
rnacentral:misc_RNA from 1 species